rnacentral:rRNA from 1 species
ACGGAGGUUGCAAGCGUUGUUCGGAAUGACUGGGCGUAAAGGGAGCGCAGGCGGCUGUUUAAGUCUGGAGUGAAAGCCCGGGGCUCAACCCCGGCGGGUCUUCGGAUACUGGACAGCUAGAGUACGGAAGAGGAGAGCGGAAUUCCAGGUGUAGCGGUGAAAUGCGUAGAUAUCUGGAGGAACACCGGUGGCGAAAGCGGCUCUCUGGUCCGAUACUGACGCUCAGGCUCGAAAGCGUGGGGAGCAAACGG